CGCCACAUGAAUCGGCGCUUGAUGAGCUGAUCUUUGUGCGAACCAAACCGAGCGGUCGCAGUUAGCAGCGAGCUGCACGACAACCGGCGGAGGACAUCGGUACCCGGGUGAUAAUCCACACAUGCGACGACCAUACGGUGACUGUCACGGCCUAAAAAUGGUCAUCUGGUGAGGCGUGCCGAAGCUCUCAGGUGGAGGAGGGGCACACAGCGCCACCCAGUGGUCCUGCAUCCCUCAACAAACUAGCUGAAGCAUCGCCACCGCCGGCCCAGAUGGACCCUGCACUCUGAGAGCAGCAUCAGACCGGACCCAGAUCAAAAGAGGGAGAGGAGUCCUCACCGGAGCAGGAGUGUGAGGGGGAACCUUUGGCCCGGAAAGCAGGACAGGAGCCCACACCAUGUCGUCCAACAGGACCCAGAACCCGCAUGGACUGAAACAGAUAGGCCUGGACCAAAUAUGGGACGACCUGCGGGCCGGCAUCCAGCAGGUGUACACGCGGCAGAGCAUGGCCAAGUCUCGCUACAUGGAACUCUACACACAUGUAUAUAACUACUGUACCAGUGUCCACCAGUCCAGCCAGGGAAGGGGCUCUGUGCCCCCCAGCAAGCCCUCCAAAAAGUCCACCACUCCAGGUGGAGCCCAAUUUGUAGGCCUGGAGCUCUACAAGAGGCUCAAGGAGUUCCUGAAGAACUAUCUGACCAGCCUGCUCAAGGAUGGAGAGGACCUCAUGGACGAGUGUGUGCUCAAGUUCUACACCCAGCAGUGGGAGGAUUACCGUUUCUCCAGUAAGGUCCUCAAUGGGAUCUGUGCCUACCUCAACCGUCACUGGGUCCGACGGGAGUGUGACGAGGGUCGCAAGGGCAUCUACGAAAUCUACUCGCUGGCCCUGGUCACCUGGAGGGAGUGUUUGUUCAGACCGCUCAACAAGCAGGUUACAAAUGCUGUGCUCAAGCUGAUCGAGAGGGAGAGGAACGGCGAGACCAUCAAUACCAGACUCAUCAGCGGUGUGGUGCAGUCUUACGUGGAGUUGGGCCUGAACGAGGAGGACGCCUUCGCCAAAGGCCCCACGCUGUCCGUCUACAAGGAAUACUUUGAAUGCCAGUUCCUGACAGACACGGAACGUUUCUACACACGCGAGAGCACCGAGUUCCUCCAGCAGAACCCGGUCACCGAGUACAUGAAGAAGGCGGAGGCCCGCCUGCUGGAGGAGCAGCGGCGUGUGCAGGUGUACCUCCAUGAGUCCACGCAGGACGAGUUGGCCAGGAAGUGCGAGCAGGUCCUCAUCGAGAAGCACCUGGAGAUCUUUCACACAGAGUUCCAGAACCUUCUGGAUGCCGACAAGAACGAAGACCUGGGCCGCAUGUACAACCUGGUGUCACGCAUCACUGACGGCCUGGGAGAACUCAAGAAGCUCCUAGAGACCCACAUCCACAACCAGGGCCUCGCCGCCAUUGAAAAGUGUGGCGAGGCGGCGCUCAACGACCCCAAAGUGUACGUGCAGACCACGCUGGACGUCCACAAGAAGUACAACGCUCUGGUCAUGUCCGCCUUCAACAACGACGCCGGCUUUGUGGCGGCGCUCGACAAGGCGUGUGGUCGAUUCAUCAACAACAACGCCGUCACCAGGAUGGCGCAGUCGUCCAGCAAGUCGCCCGAGCUGCUCGCCAGAUACUGUGACUCGUUACUCAAGAAGAGCUCCAAAAACCCAGAGGAGGCGGAGCUAGAGGACACGCUCAACCAAGUUAUGGUUGUGUUCAAGUACAUCGAGGACAAGGACGUCUUCCAGAAGUUCUACGCCAAGAUGCUCGCCAAGCGUUUGGUCCACCAGAACAGCGCCAGCGACGACGCCGAGGCCAGCAUGAUCUCCAAACUCAAGCAAGCGUGCGGCUUCGAGUACACGUCCAAACUCCAGAGAAUGUUCCAGGACAUCGGCGUCAGCAAAGACCUCAACGAGCAGUUCAAGAAGCACCUGACCAACUCUGAACCUCUGGACUUGGACUUCAGUAUUCAGGUUCUGAGUUCAGGAUCGUGGCCUUUCCAGCAGUCCUGCACCUUCGCUUUGCCCUCUGAGCUGGAGAGAAGCUACCAGCGCUUCACGGCGUUCUACGCCAGCAGACACAGCGGCAGGAAGUUGACGUGGCUCUACCACCUGUCCAAAGGCGAGCUGGUCACCAACUGCUUCAAGAACAGGUACACGCUGCAGGCGUCCACCUUCCAGAUGGCCAUCUUGCUGCAGUACAACACCGAGGACAGCUACACCGUCCAGCAGCUCACCGACAGCACGCAGAUCAAAACCGACAUCCUGGUCCAAGUACUGCAGAUUUUGCUGAAGUCCAAACUGCUGGUUCUGGAGGAUGAGAACGCCAAUGUCGACGAGGUGGACUUCAAACCGGACACCGUCAUCAAACUCUUCCUGGGAUACAAGAAUAAAAAGUUGCGCGUGAACAUCAACGUGCCCAUGAAGACGGAGCAGAAGCAAGAGCAGGAGACCACUCACAAGAACAUCGAGGAGGACCGCAAGCUCCUCAUUCAGGCGGCCAUCGUGAGGAUCAUGAAGAUGAGGAAGGUCCUGAAGCACCAGCAGCUCCUCGCCGAGGUCCUCAACCAGCUGUCAUCUCGGUUCAAACCCAGAGUCCCCGUCAUCAAGAAAUGCAUUGACAUCUUGAUAGAGAAGGAGUACCUGGAGAGAGUGGAUGGCGAGAAGGACACGUACAGCUACUUGGCCUGAAACCCCCCCCACAGCCCAGCAACUCGCCCGCCCACAUCGCCUUCGUUUUAUUUCCACGUGUUAUCUUCAUCCCCCCCACCCCGUCUGAGUAAUAAAGUGUGGAUCCUGAUGUGCGGCAGACAUGUUGAGUUCGCUGCUGAGCAUGUGACAACCUAAAGGUGAACUUUGACCUCUCCUGUCAGUGAUGAAGGAACUUACACGCCACCCCCAUGCCCUUGAGAAAAGCAGCAAAGCCCCGCCCACCAACGCACGUUUGUCAUGUUGUAAAUAUGCCCGGAUUUCAAGAGGAGAAACGCCCCGCCGCCCUCUCUCGCCAUAGGGAAAAACAUCACGACUUUAGCCUUCAGCCAAUCAGAGAGCCAUAUCCAAAGGUUUCUGCAUGCUCCCGCCUCCCUGCGCCGCCGUCUAGCACAGCGGGACAAACGAAGGAAGCAGUGCGAGACCAGCAAUUUUAUAGAAUUUAUUCAAAGAAAGAAAAUCCCUGUGAACAUUGCAGAGUCAGCACCUUCCACGUGUGAGAAUUUAAAGUUUUCUUUUGCAGGAUUUAUAACAAAAAACAUCCCAGGUGGUUGCUUGCUGCUCCCUGAUUCCCCCCUCAGCCAAUCACAGAACACAACCCUUUAUUUGUAAACAUGGUCCGUGUGUGUCUUACAAGCAUCACUGUCAGCUGCUUGCAACAUGGCCGACACUACAGUCACACCUGCUGGCCCUUUAAAAUUAGAGCAUCAGGAAUGUGACACAACCUGUGACUGAAGUGAAACAAAUGUUCAACAUUGUGAGGAAUUGGCCAGCACUGACGGUAAAGAUUGUAUGAUUACAGCAGGCAGUGGAGCAGACAGCAGGCCCGUAAGGCCAUUUUAGCACCAGAAUUCACAUCAAAAAUCAAAGCGUGAGGAUGCUUGAGGUGUUUUCAUGAUCAACUCAUUGAAACUGACUUUAGCACCUCUAGUGGACAAACUAGACAUUGCUGGCAGUGACGUCAAACGUGAUUUGAAGGCAGUGCCAGCUUUGUCGAGGUUUAACAUUGCCGUUGACUGUAACUGCCAGAAAGAUCACCACUAGAACGUUUUUGGCCGAGAAAGUCUUAAGCACCAGAAAAAAAAACCUGCUGGUGUUUUUUGUAAUGUAUGAGUUCCAACACACUUGAAGGCAUUGUUUGACAUCACCAAAAACAGCAGUAUAACAAUUAUUCUGCCCCCCCCCCCUAAAAACAGGGAAAAAAAUAUUUACAGAUAGCUUUGUCAAAAUUUGACUGGAUUUUCUGUCAGUUUAAACGGCAAAAAACAGAAACCUGCUGGUGGUGAAUUUGGUCCCUGAAACGUGGACUGAGAAGAUGUUUCAUCUCACAGCAACACUAUGUAUUAAUAAAAAGAAGUCUUGUUCUUUAGGUUCAAAACAAACACUUGGAGGAUAAACAAUCCCGAAAGAUAAACAAGGAGAUGCUUCAAAUCUUAUGACUUCCUGAAAUGUUGCUAACAUGUCUUCUUCCCCUGAAGAGUGUGUGUCUGUGUGUGUCUUCA